GGGGGGCCCGAGUUGUAAUUUGGAGAGGAUGCUUUGGGCGCGGCGCCUUCCGAGUUCCUUGGAACAGGACGCCAGAGAGGGUGAGAGCCCCGUACGGUCGGACGCCUAGCCCGUGCAAAGCUCCUUCGACGAGUCGAGUAGUUUGGGAAUGCUGCUCAAAAUGGGAGGUAAAUUUCUUCUAAAGCUAAAUACCGGCCAGAGACCGAUAGCGCACAAGUAGAGUGAUCGAAAGAUGAAAAGCACUUUGAAAAGAGGGUUAAACAGCACGUGAAAUUGUUGAAAGGGAAGCGCCUGUGGCCAGACGUGCGCCCCGCGGACCACCCGUCGCUCUGCGGCGGGGCACGCCGCGGCGGCGCAGGCCAGCAUCGGCUCUCCCAGGGGGACAAAGGCCGCGGGAACGUAGCUCCUUCGGGAGUGUUAUAGCCCGCGGCGCCAUGCCUCUGGGGGGGCCGAGGACCGCGCCUUCGGGCAAGGAUGCUGGCGUAAUGGCCACCAGCGACCCGUCUUGAAACACGGACCAAGGAGUCAAGCAUUGGGGCGAGUGUUUGGGUGACAAACCCGCACGCGAAAUGAAAGUGAACGCAGGUGGGAGCCUCCGGGCGCACCACCGACCGAUCCUGAAGUUUUCGGAUGGAUUUGAGUAGGAGCCUUGCCGCU
rnacentral:rRNA from 1 species